UACAGAGGGUGCAAGCGUUAAUCGGAAUUACUGGGCGUAAAGCGUGCGUAGACGGUUAUUUAAGUCGGGUGUGAAAGCCCCGGGCUCAACCUGGGAAUUGCAUUCGAGACUGAAUAGCUAGGGUGCGGAAGAGGGAAGCGGAAUUUCCGGUGUAGCGGUGAAAUGCGUAGAGAUCAGGAAGAACACCCGUGGCGCAAGCGGCCACCUGGCAGAGACCUGACGCUGAGGCACGAAAGCGUGGGGAGCAAACAGG
rnacentral:rRNA from 1 species